AUUCUCCUACGGGGGGCAGCAGUGGGGGAUAUUGCACAAUGGGGGAAACCCUGAUGCAGCGGCGCCGCGUGGGCGAAGAAGUAUUUCGGUAUGUAAAGCCCUAUCAGCAGGGAAGAAGAAAUGACGGUACCUGAGUAAGAAGCACCGGCUAAAUACGUGCCAGCAGCCGCGGUAAUACGUAUGGUUCAAGCGUUAUCCGGAUUUACUGGGCGUAAAGGGAGCGCAGGCGGCACGGCAAGCCUGAU
rnacentral:rRNA from 1 species